rnacentral:lncRNA from 1 species
CUGGUCUCUGUUGCAGGUGCUUCGCUGAGCGGCGAGAAACUUGUUCCAAAAGUGACUGGGAUGAGGGUGCUUGGCCGAAGCUCUGUCCCAUUCACCUUGCCAAAGAGUCCAACUAGGAACAAAGCUGCGGCUGGAUUGUGUGUCUGCAGUAAUUGACACCGAAUGACCUUAAAAAAAAAAAAAAGGGUGCGGCGAGGGAGUAUUGAUCAACAGCAGCACCGGUGUCAAGUCCCCCG